UUACAGAAAAUCAGAAGCAUCGACAAGGAAAGCACUGAAUAACAAGGAGUGUUUGCAGUGCCUGGAAGAAUAGGAGCUGCUCACUUCUUUAAUGCCAGAGGACUCCUUCCCACACUUGGGUGGACCUGAGUGACUGGGGCUGCUCUCACCAGAAGACACCAGCAGCCAGGGGGUAGCCAGACUGCAGGGCUGACAUACUGAGGAAUGAGAUGGCUUCCCACAGCCUGAAACCUUUCCAUGGCUGCUGGAUAGAUUUCAAGAAGACAGUACACAAUUGAAGCAGGAGUUCCUGAUGUGAGAAUCUCUGAGCCAGGGUUUAAAGUUAUGUCAAAGCCACAGCUCCUAAUGAUCAGCCUUUGAGCAAUAAUUUCAGAACCUGCCCUCGAGUUUUUUCUGUAAAUUUUCUUUCAUCUCCCUUAGAGCAUCUGCAAAGGAUGGGGAACUCUUAAGAAAACCUGUGCUUUUCCACAAAAUAUAAAUCCUACUAAGAUCUAUUGUAGUAAAAGCUGUUGACAAAUGCAUUUCCCCCAUCCCCUGCUGGUAAGUCCUUUGAGGUGUGAGUGACAUCAGCAGAAUGACAGUGUGGGGGCUCCACAGCUCUGGGAGACAUCUGCCGUGCG